rnacentral:rRNA from 1 species
GAUGAACGCUGGCGGCGUGCCUAAUACAUGCAAGUCGAGCGAACAGACGAGGAGCUUGCUCCUCUGACGUUAGCGGCUGACGGGUGAGUAACACGUGGAUAACCUACCUAUAAUACUGGGAUAACUUCGGGAAACCGGAGCUAAUACCGGAUAAUAUAUUGAACCGCAUGGUUCAAUAGUGAAAGACGGUUUUGCUGUCACUUAUAGAUGGAUCCGCGCCGCAUUAGCUAGUUGGUAAGGUAACGGCUUACCAAGGCAACGAUGCGUAGCCGACCUGAGAGGGUGAUCGGCCACACUGGAACUGAGACACGGUCCAGACUCCUACGGGAGGCAGCAGUAGGGAAUCUUCCGCAAUGGGCGAAAGCUUGACGGAGCAACGCCGCGUGAGUGAUGAAGGUCUUCGGAUCGUAAAACUCUGUUAUUAGGGAAGAACAAAUGUGUAAGUAACUAUGCACGUCUUGACGGUACCUAAUCAGAAAGCCACGGCUAACUACGUG